rnacentral:rRNA from 1 species
CCUACGGGGGGCAGCAGUGGGGAAUAUUGGACAAUGGGGGCAACCCUGAUCCAGCCAUGCCGCGUGUGUGAAGAAGGCCCUCGGGUUGUAAAGCACUUUCAGUGAGGAAGAACGCCUGGUGGUUAAUACCCAUCAGGAAAGACAUCACUCACAGAAGAAGCACCGGCUAACUCCGUGCCAGCAGCCGCGGUAAUACGGAGGGUGUGAGCGUUAAUCGGAAUUACUGGGCGUAAAGCGCGCGUAGGUGGCUUGAUAAGCCGGUUGUGAAAGCCCCGGGCUCAACCUGGGAACGGCAUCCGGAACUGUCAAGCUAGAGUGCAGGAGAGGAAGGUAGAAUUCCCGGUGUAGCGGUGAAAUGCGUAGAGAUCGGGAGGAAUACCAGUGGCGAAGGCGGCCUUCUGGACUGACACUGACACUGAGGUGCGAAAGCGUGGGUAGCGAACAGGAUUAGAUACCCCAGUAGUC